rnacentral:rRNA from 1 species
UACGAAGGGGGCUAGCGUUGCUCGGAAUCACUGGGCGUAAAGGGCGCGUAGGCGGCGUUUUAAGUCGGGGGUGAAAGCCUGUGGCUCAACCACAGAAUGGCCUUCGAUACUGGGACGCUUGAGUAUGGUAGAGGUUGGUGGACUGCGAGUGUAGAGGUGAAAUUCGUAGAUAUUCGCAAGAACACCGGUGGCGAAGGCGGCCAACUGGACCAUUACUGACGCUGAGGCGCGAAAGCGUGGGGAGCAAACAGG